UUUGACUGUUUUUGGCUGAUGAUGGAAAUGUUACAGUAUGGAGUUCUGCUGAUGAUUAUGUCAGCUGUUAGUGGUCAGUCUUUGACCUCCUCAGAUUCUGUGGUGAAAAAGCCUGGAGAAUCAGUGACUCUGUCCUGCACUGUGUCUGGAUUCUCAAUGAAUGACUACUAUAUGGGCUGGAUCCGUCAGAAACCAGGGAAAGCACUGGAGUGGAUUGGGCAAAGACAUGGCUCAACUGUGUAUUAUGCUCAGUCUCUACAGGGACAGUUCUCCAUCACCACAGACACCAGCAAAAACAUGCUGCAUUUAGAGGUGAAAAGCCUGAAGACUGAAGACACAGCUGUUUAUUACUGUGCAAGACACUCACUGUUACACAAAAGACUGCAGGACCUGAACAAAAACUAUUCAUGUAUUGACUGUCAGGUUGUGCUCACACAGUCUGAACAGUCAGUAGUUGUGUCUCCAGGUGCUUCCUACAAACUGACCUGUGCCUGCAUAAAGAAAGAUCUGAGGAUCCAUUCUGUGCCACUGAAGAUCAAAGCCAGAUUCUCCUCAUCACUGAGAAACUUUCCGAUGUAG